rnacentral:rRNA from 1 species
UACGAAGGGUGCUAGCGUUGUUCGGAAUCACUGGGCGUAAAGCGCGCGUAGGCGGUUUUUCAAGUCAGGGGUGAAAGCCCAGAGCUUAACUCUGGAAUUGCCUUUGAAACUGAAAAACUGGAGUGUCGGAGGGGAUAGCGGAAUUGCUAAUGUAGAGGUGAAAUUCGUAGAUAUUAGCAGGAACACCGGUGGCGAAGGCGGCUAUCUGGACGACAACUGACGCUGAGGCGCGAAAGCGUGGGGAUCAAACAGG